rnacentral:rRNA from 1 species
AGAACGAACGCUGGCGGCAUGCCUAAUACAUGCAAGUCGAACGAACACUUCGGUGUUAGUGGCGCACGGGUGCGUAACGCGUGGGAAUCUGCCCUUGGGUUCGGAAUAACAGUUGGAAACGACUGCUAAUACCGGAUGAUAUCGAAAGAUCAAAGAUUUAUCGCCCAGGGAUGAGCCCGCGUAGGAUUAGCUAGUUGGUGAGGUAAAGGCUCACCAAGGCGACGAUCCUUAGCUGGUCUGAGAGGAUGAUCAGCCACACGUGGGACUGGGACCACGGCCCAGACUCCGACGGGAGGCAGCGAGGUAGGGAAUAGUAGGAC